rnacentral:rRNA from 1 species
GACGAACGCUGGCGGCGUGCUUAACACAUGCAAGUCGAACGGAAAGGCCCUGCUUUUGUGGGGUGCUCGAGUGGCGAACGGGUGUGUAACACGUGAGUAACCUGCCCUUCAUUUGGGGAUAACUUCGGGAAACUGGGGCAAAUCCGGGAUGGGGCCUCUUGCGGCUGGUGGGGGGUGGGAAGUUUCGGGGGGUGGGGAUUGGACUGCCGGUUUGCAGGUUGGUGGGGGGGGAGGGGGCUAACCAGGCGGUGGAGGGGUGGCCGGCGGAGGGGGGGGACCGCCAAAGUGGGACUGAGAUACGGCCCAGACUCCUACGGGAGGCAGGAGGGGGGAAGAGUGCACAAUGGGCGGAAGCCGGAUGCAGCGACGCCGCGUGGGGGAGGAAGGGCUUCGGGUGGGAAAACCGUUUCGCUAGGGACGAAGCUGUUUGUGACGGUACCUAGAGAAGAAGCACCGGCUAACUACGUG